rnacentral:rRNA from 1 species
AGGAUGAACGCUGGCGGCGUGCCUAACACAUGCAAGUCGAACGCCCUCCAUUCGGUAGCAAUACUGAUGAAGAGGGAGUGGCGAACGGGUGAGUAGCACGUGAGCAACCUGCCCCGAAGACUGGGACAACACCGGGAAACCGGUGCUAAUACCGGAUAUCCCUAUCGGAUCGCAUGAUCUGAUAAGGAAAUGGAUUCCGCCUCGGGAGGGGCUCGCGGCCUAUCAGCUAGUUGGUGAGGUAAUAGCUCACCAAGGCAUCGACGGGUAGCUGGUCUGAGAGGACGAUCAGCCACACUGGGACUGAGACACGGCCCAGACUCCUACGGGAGGCAGCAGUGGGGAAUCUUGCGCAAUGGGCGAAAGCCUGGACGCAGCAACGCCGCGUGGAGGACGAAUGCUUUCUGAGUUGUAAACUCCUUUCAGCAGGGACGAUUGUGACGGUACCUGCAGAAGAAGCACCGGCCAACUACGUG